rnacentral:lncRNA from 1 species
AAGAAAUCAAACCGAAUGUCGGAGCCAGCAAAAAUGGACUUCUUAUGAGCCAGGUGGCCUACGUCCUGAACUACCGGGAGAGGACAUACACUGAUCAAAAAGAUCAUGAUGAAGAACAGACAUACAGAGACAGCAAAAAUAAACGUAUUAGUCAAGCGGCCUACUACCCGGGCUGCUGGCUGAAGACAGAAGAAAAUGACAAAGAUGUGGAUGAAGAUGUUCAUGUUGUGGCGGCUGAGAAAAUACCAGAGUCACCUGCCCCCAGGUAACACUGAAGAAUCAGGAGCAAGUAGUGGGUGGUAAAGUAUGGAAAAGUUCUAGAAUCUCACCCUCUCUGGUGUCUACCGUGGGCCAAAAGCCUCCAUUCCCUUGGCCACAAUACGUUCAGUUCAACCCAACUCAGACACAGGGCGUGGCAGCUGUUGUGGUUCUUUGUAUGUGCCGAGUGCCGUGUCUGAAUUCUGCCGGGAUAACUGAGUCUCCUUUCCUCUUAGCUCUUUUCUGCCCAGGGUGAUGAAUACCA